rnacentral:rRNA from 1 species
AUUGAACGGUGGCGGCAGGCCUAACACAUGCAAGUCGAGCGAGCGGCGGACGGGUGAGUAAUGUAUGGGGAUCUGCCCGAUAGAGGGGGAUAACUACUGGAAACGGUAGCUAAUACCGCAUACCAUCGGAUGUGCCCAGAUGGGAUUAGCUAGUAGGUGGGGUAAAGGCUCACCUAGGCGACGAUCCCUAGCUGGUCUGAGAGGAUGACCAGCCACACUGGAACUGAGACACGGGCCAGACGCCUACGGGAGGCAGCAGGGGGGAAUAGUGCACAAGGGGCGCAAGCCUGAUGCAGCCAUGCCGCGUGUAUGAAGAAGGCCUUCGGGUUGUAAAGUACUUGCAGCGGGGAGGCGUUACCCGCAGAAGAAGCACCGGCUAACUCCGUGCCAGCAGCCGCGGUAUU